rnacentral:rRNA from 3 species
GAUAGUGAGCGGCGACAGUACUCGUGCUGUACGGAUCUGAAUGGACCGUCGGUAUGGGUCACUGCUUGUUGCUUGUCGCACUUCCCGGCAGUGUGCGUCAACAGGUGUUAGGACUGGGUGAAAGGCCCCGCAAGAAGGUGGCUGGCUUCGGUCAGUGUUAUAGAUUGUGGUGUGCGAGCCCAGGUUUGACAGAGGCGUUGCGGCACAUGCUCUUUUGGGCUGGCCUCUCCCUCCUCAGUCGGUUGUCGAGCAUGACGGACUGCGUGCAGUGCGUUUGAACUGCCUCAGGCUGUCGGAGGGAAGAGUGCACACACUGUGCCAAGGUUGUUGGCGGUCAUAUGGUUUCAUGCGACCCGUCUUGAAACACGGACCAAGGAGUCUAACAUGUGUGCAAGUCUUUGGGUGAUUGAAACCCGCAGGCACAAUGAAAGUAAAGGCUGCUUGCAGCUGAAGUGGGAUCCCUUCGUCUCGGCGGAGGGCGCAUCAUUGACCGACCUAUUCUACUCUUAGAAAGGUUUGAGUAAGAGCACAUCUGUUGGGACCCGAAAGAUGGUGAACUAUGCUUGAGUAGGGCGAAGCCAGAGGAAACUCUGGUGGAGGCUCGUAGCGAUUCUGACGUGCAAAUCGAUCGUCAAACUUGGGUAUAGGGGCGAAAGACUAAUCGAACCAUCUAGUAGCUGGUUCCCUCCGAAGUUUCCCUUAGGAUAGCUGGAACUCGGAACAGUUUUAUCAGGUAAAGCGAAUGAUUAGAGGUCUUAGGGUUGAAACAACCUUAACCUAUUCUCAAACUUUAAAUUGGUAAGAAGCCCGACUUGCUUAAUUGAAGUAGGGCACAGAAUGAGAGUUCUUAGUGGGCCAUUUUUGGUAAGCAGAACUGGCGAUGCGGGAUGAACCGAACGCUGAGUUAAGGCGCCUAAAUCGACGCUCAUCAGACCCCACAAAAGGUGUUGGUUGAUCUAGACAGCAGGACGGUGGCCAUGGAAGUCGGAAUCCGCUAAGGAGUGUGUAACAACACACCUGCCGAAUCAACUAGCCCUGAAAAUGGAUGGCGCUCAAGCGUCGUGCCUAUACUCAGCCGUCAGAGUAAAGAGCGAAGCUCUGACGAGUAGGAGGGCGUGGAGGUUGUGACGCAGCCUUUGGCGUGAGCCUGGGUGAAACGGCCUCUAGUGAAGAUCUUGGUGGUAGUAGCAAAUAUUCAAAUGAGAACUUUGAAGGCCGAAGUGGAGAAAGGUUCCAUGUGAACAGCAGUUGGACAUGGGUUAGUCGAUCCUAAGAGAUAGGGAAACUCCGUUUCAAAGUGUCCAAUCUUGGAUCGUUUAUCGAAAGGGAAUCGGGUUAAUAUUCCCGAACCAGAACACGGAUAUUCUAUCCUCUCGGGGGUAGAUGUGCGGUAACGCAACUGAACUCGGAGACGUCGGCAGGAGCCCUGGGAAGAGUUCUCUUUUCUUGUUAACGGCCUGACACCAUGGAAUCUGAUUGCCAGGAGAUAUGGUCCGAUGGCCGGUAAAGCACCACACUUCUUGUGGUGUCCGGUGCGCUCUUGAAGGCCCUUGAAAAUCCGAGGGAAAGAUUGAUUUUCGUGUCUGUUCGUACUCAUAACCGCAGCAGGUCUCCAAGGUGAGCAGCCUCUG